rnacentral:rRNA from 1 species
UGGGCCCGCGGCCUAUCAGCUUGUUGGUGGGUAAUGGCCUACCAAGGCGACGACGGGUAGCCGGCCUGAGAGGGUGUCCGGCCACACUGGGACUGAGAUACGGCCCAGACUCCUACGGGAGGCAGCAGUGGGGAAUAUUGCACAAUGGGCGCAAGCCUGAUGCAGCGACGCCGCGUGAGGGAUGACGGCCUUCGGGUUGUAAACCUCUUUCAAUAGGGACGAAGCGCAAGUGACGGUACCUAUAGAAGAAGCACCGGCCAACUACGUG